rfam:Rattus norvegicus chromosome 10, whole genome shotgun sequence.
GGGGGUUUAGCUCAGUGGUAGAGCGCUUGCCUAGGAAGCGCAAGGCCCUGGGUUCAGUCCCCAGCUCCG